rnacentral:rRNA from 1 species
GACGAACUGCGCAAACGUUAUUCGGAAUUACUGGGCUUAAAGAGUCCGUAGGCGGCGUGUUAGGUGGGGUGUGAAAUCCCUCGGCCCAACCGAGGAAUUGCGCUCCAAACCGGCACGCUAGAGGAAGGUAGAGGUGAGCGGAACUGAUGGUGGAGCGGUGAAAUGCGUUGAUAUCAUCAGGAACACCGGAGGCGAAGGCGGCUCACUGGGCCUUUUCUGACGCUGAGGGACGAAAGCUAGGGGAGCGAACGGG